rnacentral:rRNA from 1 species
GUGCCAGCAGCCGCGGUAAUACGUAGGUGGCAAGCGUUGUCCGGAAUUAUUGGGCGUAAAGCGCGCGCAGGCGGUCCUUUAAGUCUGAUGUGAAAUCUCGCGGCUCAACCGCGAGCGGUCAUUGGAAACUGGGGGACUUGAGUGCAGAAGAGGAAAGCGGAAUUCCACGUGUAGCGGUGAAAUGCGUAGAGAUGUGGAGGAACACCAGUGGCGAAGGCGGCUUUCUGGUCUGUAACUGACGCUGAGGCGCGAAAGCGUGGGGAGCGAACAGGAUUAGAUACCCUGGUAGUCC